rnacentral:rRNA from 1 species
ACGGGAGGCAGCAGUGGGGAGUAUUGCACAAUGGGGGAAACCCUGAUGCAGCGACGCCGCGUGAGUGAAGAAGUAUUUCGGUAUGUAAAGCUCUAUCAGCAGGAAAGAAAAUGACGGUACCUGACUAAGAAGCCCCGGCUAACUACGUGCCAGCAGCCGCGGUAAUACGCAGGGGGCAAGCGUUAUCCGGAUUUACUGGGUGUAAAGGGAGCGUAGACGGCUUUGCAAGUCUGAAGUGAAAGCCCGGGGCUCAACCCCGGAACUGCUUUGGAAACUGUAGAGCUAGAGUGCAGGAGAGGUAAGUGGAAUUCCUAGUGUAGCGGUGAAAUGCGUAGAUAUUAGGAGGAACACCAGUGGCGAAGGCGGCUUACUGGACUGUAACUGACGUUGAGGCUCGAAGGCGUGGGGAGCAAACAGGAUUAGAUACCCUGGUA